GCUUAACGCGAAGAACCUUACCUGGGUUUGACAUGGCCGCAAAACUGUCAGAGAUGGCAGGUCCCUGGGGUCGGGUCGACAGGUGGUGCAUGGCUGUCGUCAGCUCGUGUCGUGAGAUGUUGGGUUAAGUCCGCAACGAGCGCAACCCUCGUUCGAUGUUGCUAGCGCGUUAUGGCGGGGACGUCAUCGAAGACUGCCGGGGUCAACUCGGAGGAAGGUGGGGAUGACGUCAAGUCAUCAUGCCCCUUAUGUCCAGGGCUUCACGCAUGCUACAAUGGCCGGUACAAUGGGCUGCGAUACCGUGAGGUGGAGCGAAUCCCAAAAAGCCGGUCUCAGUUCGGAUCGGGGUCUGCAACUCGACCCCGUGAAGUCGGAGUCGCUAGUAAUCGCAGAUCAGCAACGCUGCGGUGAAUACGUUCCCGGGUCUUGUACACACCG
rnacentral:rRNA from 1 species